ACUGUGAUGGCAGAAAAAGUGCACCAGAUUUAAGCUUUGGUUAUAUAGGAUAACUAUUCAUAGUA
rnacentral:tRNA from 1 species